rnacentral:rRNA from 1 species
UACGAAGGGGGCUAGCGUUGCUCGGAAUCACUGGGCGUAAAGCGCACGUAGGCGGCUUUUUAAGUCAGGGGUGAAACCCUGAAGCUCAACUCCAGAACUGCCUUUGAUACUGAGAAGCUUGAGUCCGGGAGAGGUGAGUGGAACUGCGAGUGUAGAGGUGAAAUUCGUAGAUAUUCGCAAGAACACCAGUGGCGAAGGCGGCUCACUGGCCCGGUACUGACGCUGAGGAGCGAAAGCGUGGGGAGCGAACAGG